UGGGGAAUCUUGCACAAUGGGCGAAAGCCUGAUGCAGCAACGCCGCGUGCGGGAAGACAGCCCUAGGGUUGUAAACCGCUUUCAGCAGGGAAGAAACUGACGGUACCUGCAGAAGAAGAUGCGGCCAACUACGUGCCAGCAGCCGCGGUGACACGUAGGCAUCAAGCGUUAUCCGGAUUUAUUGGGCGUAAAGAGCUCGUAGGCGGUUCGGUAAGUCGGGUGUGAAACUCUGGGCUCAACCCAGAGAGGCCACUCGAUACUGCUGUGACUAGAGUGCGGUAGGGGAGCGGGGAAUUCCUGGUGUAGCGGUGAAAUGCGCAGAUAUCAGGAGGAACACCAGUGGCGAAGGCGCCGCUCUGGGCCGUAACUGACGCUGAGGAGCGAAAGCAUGGGUAGCAAACAGGAUUAGAUACCCUGGUAGUCCAUGCCGUAAACGUUGGGCACUAGGUGUGGGUCUCAACCGAACGAGAUCCGCGCCGUCGCUAACGCAUU
rnacentral:rRNA from 1 species